rnacentral:lncRNA from 1 species
AUGUAUAUGGUGGAUAUGAAACAUAAAAGGGUUUUGUGUUUAGACUUGAGUCCUGUCCCCAAGAUAUCUCAUUAUGUAUAUGUAAAUAUUCGAAAAUCCAGAAAAAAAUCCAAAAUCUGAAACACUUCUGGUCCCAAGCAUUUCAGAUAAGGGAUACUCCACCUUUAUAAACUUUUUAAAAAAUGGCAUCAUCAUAGAUUACAUCUAGAUUGGCAUAUAUAUACCUGUUUUCUCUGGGAAUUUGGAUUUCCAUUAUUACAUGUGAACUCGAGUUCUUUUCACUUUGGGGCUCUUGUUGACUUACUUUAGAAGUCCAAGUAGAACUUUUGAAAGAUGGCCUUUCACACAUAUGUAAGGUCUUUUCAGGACUGUUAGAAGACCAAAUCUCUUCCUUUCUUUUUUCCCCUGUUGUUUCUUUUGGGUUUGAUAUAAAUAUUUUCCUCAGGAAAAAAAAUGUAUUGCUGCAAUUUGAGUAAUUACUUCUUUUAAAAAUUUUUCAUAUUUGAAAUUCUCUUUCAGAUUAGUUUGCAUUUUUUUGUGUGUAUGACUACUGAGUUCUGGUAAAUAAAGGGAAUCUUCUAUAUUAUAAUUGAGUAUGUAAUAUUAAAGUGUGUUUCCUUUAAUUUUUCUUGAGGACUUUUUCUGUUGUAUGUAUUUGUCACAGUACACAUUUAAAAAAACAAGUUUUGGUGUCUCUGUCUCUUGUUAUCUAACCCACUGCCCAAUAAGAAUCAUCACUGACCACUUUGAAUGUCUGUGUUUUGAGGUAGGGAUCAGGUGAAUCCAGACUAGUGAUGUUCUACUAUUGAUCAUUGUGGAGGACUUCCUGACUACUGUAUCAUAUUAAAGAAUAACUGGGCCAGGUGUGAUGCCUCACACCUGUAAUCCCAGCACUUUGGGAGGCCGAGGUGGGCAGAUCACGAGGUCAGGAGAUUGAGACCAUCCUGGCUAACAUAGUGAAACCCCCUCUCUACUAAGAAUACAAAAAAUUAGCCGGGUAUGGUGGCAGGCGCCUGUAGUCCCAGCUACGUGGGAGGCUGAGGCUGGAGAAUGGCGUGAACCUGGGAGGCGGAGCUUGCAGUGAGCCGAGAUCGCACCACUGCACUCCAGCCUGGGCAACAGAGUGAGACUCUAUCUCAAAAAAAAUUUUUAAAAAGUGCCAACUUUUCCACAUUGCUAAUAACAGCGGCAUGAGGGUUUGACUACUAUGAUAAACUAAGGCCAACCCAUCCAGAUCCAGGAUGUACACUUUGUCCACCCAAAUCCAGUGGACUUGGUGGAACUUGUGCUUGAUAAUGUUUUUAUCUUUUGUUAAAUAGAACGAAGAUUAUAAAGUCCUAAAUUCUUAAACUUCUAAUUCACAUAAUUUAGUUUUUAUCAUUGAUUCAAACUUGAAAUUUUAGAAACCAAAUGGCUUUAAUUGAAAACUGUUUGGUUUUAGUGCUCUUUACAAGAGAAACUCAAGGAAUGACAAAAUUCUGUAGGUUUGAUAGUCUCCUCCUAGAUAAAUGCUAUAACAUCCUGUGAAUUAAAAGAUUUGACUUUAUUUGCUAAUUUUUCCUGCCUCAUCUGUGUUAACUAAUAAACUUAAUAACCAUAAGCUUGAACAUCAUGAAUACAUAUAGUAUCAGUCCUAUAGAUUGUAUUUUCAAGGUUUUAUUUCUUUGAUUCUUGCUAUCUCUCUGAUUUAUUUUGAGGCUAACCUCAUUUCUUUAACUUCCUACUCUGUGAACCCAUACCACUUUGUAUUUCUUUUUCAGCUUACAGCACUUAGAAAUUGUUGAUGGCCGGUAUCUCUUAAGUAAGAAUAGCCUAGGGAAAUUUUGGAUACCAGUUUAAUUCUUGAACAAGACAGCUUGGUAAGGACAUUGUAAUUCACUUGACUAAGGUGAAAUUUGUAAAUUUCAAGACAUAACCUUAUAGAAGAAAAUUCAUUCUUCAUCAAAAUAUGUCAAAAUAGUCACACCCUAAAGACUGUCUAAAUAGAAGGCUUAUAUUUCUGAUUGUGUCAAACUCAGAAUAAAAUUUUAAAAUUUUCAGUGAAUGCUU